CAGCAGCCGCGGUAACACGUAGGGUGCAAGCGUUAAUCGGAAUUACUGGGCGUAAAGCGUGCGCAGGCGGUUAUAUAAGACAGAUGUGAAAUCCCCGGGCUCAACCUGGGAACUGCAUUUGUGACUGUAUAGCUAGAGUACGGCAGAGGGGGAUGGAAUUCCGCGUGUAGCAGUGAAAUGCGUAGAUAUGCGGAGGAACACCGAUGGCGAAGGCAAUCCCCUGGGCCUGUACUGACGCUCAUGCACGAAAGCGUGGGGAGCAAACAGGAUUAGAUACCCGUGUAGUCCCUGUCUCUUAUAU
rnacentral:rRNA from 1 species